AAAUAUAAACAAAACAGUUAAUAACAAAGUAAUUUGGGAGGAAUAAUUUUUUAUUUUUUAGCAGGUGGUGGUGGAGAUUCAGGAGAGUCUUCCUGCAGAAGACAGCAUCUAAGAAGCAUCUUAAAGGAAGAGGGGGCUCUUUGAGAUGGAGAUGUCAAAGCUAUCAAAGCCCGUCCAACCAAUGUUAGCUUUCAGUGAUGUUUGUGCUGACUGGCCUGUUGCUCAUUGAAAGAAUGUUGGAGGCUACAGACUGAUUGUUUGCCCAGCAACAACCUGGUUACUAGUGACAGCAAGAACCCAGAGGUAAGCUUGGUUGCUCAUGAUUGAAAUUCAUUGCCCAAGACAAAAUCUUAUAUUCAGCUUUCAUUAUUG
rnacentral:lncRNA from 1 species